GACGUAGGGCGCGAGCGUUGUCCGGAUUUAUUGGGCGUAAAGAGCUCGUAGGCGGCUUGUCGCGUCGAGUGUGAAAUCCUGCGGCUCAACUGCAGGCUUGCAUUCGAUACGGGCAGACUAGAGUUCGGCAGGGGAGACUGGAAUUCCUGGUGUAGCGGUGAAAUGCGUAGAUAUCUGGAGGAACACCGGUGGCGAAGGCGGCAUCCUGGACCAACACUGACGCUGAGGAGCGAAAGCCAGGGGAGCAAACGGG
rnacentral:rRNA from 1 species